rnacentral:ncRNA from 2 species
GGUCACGAGUGCCAGCGCUAAACCCCGGUUUGCUGGCCGGCAACCCUCCAUUCGCGGUGGGGUGCCCCGGGUGACGACCAGGCCGGUCCGGAACGGAUACGGCAAGCGCGGAUC